UAUGCCUGUGAACAUUCUACAACAAAAAUAAGUGAAUUUAGUGAAAUUUGUGGUACUUGACAGCUACUGGUGUUGCGGUGGCGUGGCAUUCCUGUAUUGUCUCGUGCUGCUGACGUGCUCGACGUAGAUGUCUCUGGACCAUUUGAUGGUGUCGCUGAUCAUGAACCGUAUUGAUAUGGCAUAGCAUUAUGGAACAUCCGGGUUUAGAAGAAAGGCGUUUACGAUAUCCAUCUAUUACUUAAAUUGUUAGUUGAUAUGAAUAGCAGUCAAAUUUGUCACAAAACGAGUGCAAAGGUUCCACAUCAAAAAACAGGAGUGCACAGUAAAAACAUAAAACUGGAGUGGUACCGAAACGCUUUUACCGCAAGUAUACAUGCAACUAUUGUAAGUAGUUUUUGGGGUCCUCAUCACAAGAAUUACCUGAAUACUUUUAGUACGGCAGGAUAUCUUGUUAAUCCUUCAGAAAAAAAGACAUUUGUCGUUAACUACAUAACAAUGAGAAUAAUGGAAAUACUCCCCAGUGUUAUUCAUAAAUAUAGUUUCAGGAGAAUUAAGGAGUAACAAUUUUUUUCUUUGUGAUAACCAUAAUACGUAUGAAAAGCAAGCACUGCCUUGUUAAAUAUUAUAAUAAAUAUAGU